AAAGCAAUUAAAAAUUCUUUUUUUUUCAGGUAAGAAAUUUGGUCAGUUACCCAGAACCCUGUGAGUGAACAAGCAGUCCAGACUGACAUGAUCACAUGCAUUGUGAAGAUGCAAAGACGUUCAUCUUUAUUAAAUUUCCCCAAGAAAUGUGCUGUGUUCUGCCAAAGCUCAUAGCACAUGACCUCUUAAAAUGCACACUUUCUUUAAAAUGAUAGACGUGUCAAAGCACAUUAAAGAACGGCUGCUUAAUGUUCACAACUCAAUAAUGAAGACCAAAAAUCAAAAUUUGUACUGAGGGCUGGGGAUGUGGCUCAAGCGGUAAUGCACUCACCUGGCAUGCACGGGGCGCUGGAUUCGAUCCUCAGCAC
rnacentral:lncRNA from 1 species